CUUUUUCUGUUCGAAUCUUUUUCUUUGAUAAAAGAGGAUCCAAAACAAAGAUAUUUUAGAAGCUUUACACGUGGCAGCCCCUCCCUUUUGCUCCCCCAAAACUCUUUGACCAGGAAUUCCUAACAAACUUUUACAGAUAGGAAUAGGAAUGAGAAUACGAUCAAAAUAAAUCAGAUCAAUUACAAAAUUCAAAGGAUGAAUAAUCUUAAAAGACUUCAUUUCUAAUUCUUUUCUAUCGACCAUAGAAAACUCACUUGGGUUAUUACGGGUACGUAUAUGCUUGGCAUGUUUUGGCAGGCUGCUGAGGCUCUGUCACCCCAAGUGUGGCUAAGAUGGAACAUUAUGACCCGACUAUGGCAUACCCAGUUCAGUCGCCAGGUGUAAAAGGAAACCAGGCAGACAAAGUCAUGAACAACAUUUCGGUCCAUUGUCUGGGUCUGGUGCACCCCGGAAAGGUUUUCGGUUUCCACAAUGAGCUUCAUGUCUACCUUGCUUCAUGUGGAGUUGAUGAAGUCAAAGUUGAUAUUCAAAAGAUAAUUGAAACUCUCUAGGUCAUUCAAGUUUCAAAAAAGCAAGCAACAGUAGGAAAGGAGAAGGAAACUCAAAUGUCCUUAUCUUGAAGCAACAUACUUUAUAAGAUUUGAAAAUCGACAUGGCAAUAUUGGGAAAGGAUGCUGCGUUUUGCUAUCGAAGUUAACAUGGGUCGUUAAAUUUUUAACUAAAAAUUUUGAGUUAGUAACAUACUGCAAUGAUUUGAAUGAGAGUGACAAUAUAUUUGGAUCGAUUAGCUUAAGUAAUGAAGAUGUUCUACAUAUACGUUGUAAUAUCAAGUACAGAAAAUAUUAUUUAUACUUUCUUAAUCAUGCCC